UACGGAGGGAGCUAGCGUUGUUCGGAUCUACUGGGCGUAAAGCGCACGUAGGCGGCGCCGUAAGUCAGGGGUGAAAUCCUGGAGCUCAACUCCAGAACUGCCUUUGAUACUGAGGAUCUUGAGUACGGGAGAGGUGAGUGGAACUGCGAGUGUAGAGGUGAAAUUCGUAGAUAUUCGCAAGAACACCAGUGGCGAAGGCGGCUCACUGGCCCGUAACUGACGCUGAGGCACGAAAGCGUGGGGAGCAAACAGG
rnacentral:rRNA from 1 species